GACGAACGCUGGCGGCGUGCCUAAUACAUGCAAGUCGAACGCAGUGGGGACGGGUGAGUAACACGUGGGUAACCUCCCAUCAGAGGGGAUAACACUUGGAAACAGGUGCUAAACCGAUACUGAUGGAUGGACUCGCGGUGCAUUAGCUAGGUGGUGAGGUAACGGCUCACCAAGGCCACGUUGCAUAGCCGACUGGGGAAGGUGAUCGGCCAAACUGGGACGGAGAAACGGCCCAGACUCCUACGGUGUGCAGCAGGAGGGAAUCUUCGGCAAUGGGCGAAAGGCUGACCGAGCAACGCCGGGUUAGUGAAGAAGGUUUUCGGAUCGUAAAAGUCUGUUGUUAGAGAAGCGGUAACUAACCAGAAAGGGACGGCUAACUACGUGCCAGCAGCCGCGGUAAUUC
rnacentral:rRNA from 1 species